rnacentral:rRNA from 1 species
AAUGAACGCUGGCGGCAGGCCUAACACAUGCAAGUCAAACGGAUCCUUCGGGAUUAGUGGCGGACGGGUGAGUAACGCGUGGGAACAUACCCAAAGGUACGGAAUAGCCUCGGGAAACUGGGAGUAAUACCGUAUGUGCUCGAAAGAGGAAAGAUUUAUCGCCUUUGGAUUGGCCCGCGUUGGAUUAGGUAGUUGGUGGGGUAAUGGCCUACCAAGCCGACGAUCCAUAGCUGGUUUGAGAGGAUGAUCAGCCACACUGGGACUGAGACACGGCCCAGACUACUACGGGAGGCAGCAGUGGGGAGUCUUAGACAAUAGGGGAAACCCUGAUCUAGCCAUGCCGCGUGAUCGAUGAAGGCCUUAGGGUUGUAAAGAUCUUUCAGGUGGGAAGAUAAUGACUGUACCACCAGAAGAAGCCCCGGCUAACUCCGUGCCAGCCGCCGCCGUAA